rnacentral:misc_RNA from 1 species
GCCAGGAAUGUGAAUACACAGAUGUUACGUAUAUACUGCCUUGGGUGUUACCAAGGUGUUACUGGAGAAAUACCGGAAAAUAUCACUUCCUGAAUCACAGAAACCGGAGUCGAAUGGCCUCCGAGCAUCCGGGACCUGCCGCCUCUGCCCGGCCCAAGCUGCUCGUCUUUGACCUUGACCUGACCCUCUGGCCAUCCAUCGCCGGCACCCACCAUCGGCCGCCAUUUCACGAGCGGAACGGAACGGUUUUCGACUCCUCCGGAAGAGAGCUCCACCCGUUUCCCGAGUCGUCAGCAGUGUUAGAGGAGUGUCAUGCCCAGGGGUAUCUCAUGGCAGUCGCAUCACGAUCGGGUGACAAGUCCAGCUGCAAGCAGCUGAUGGCACUGUUCGGUUGGAGGAAGUACUUCAAAUACGUGGAGAUAUAUCCGGGAUGCAAGAAGAGACAUUUCUCGCGGAUUCACAAGGUGUCGAAGAUACCGUUGUCAGAUAUGCUGUUCUUCGAUGAUGAUGGCGUCAAUAUUAGGGACCUGACUCAGUUGGGGGUGAUGUCAAUACUAGUGUCGGGCUCGACUGGAAUCAACAAAUACUUGGUGCACGAAGGGCUUGCAAAAUUUGUUAGAGAAAGAUCGUGUGGAAAAGUCGUGAGUGAUAGAUGCAAUUAACCUGAAACCGGUUACCGAUAGUCUCGGAUUUGACGAUUUUGACUUUGUGAAAAUUUCCAUGGCCUUUUAUACUGUAUGCCUGUUACGUUCGCUCUUGGCUUCGCGGAUUUAAACUGUUUCAUGCUGUUAUUUAUCAUGACAUGACAUGACAUGUGUGACUGACUUAUUGCUCAUUGAAUUGUUGAGAACUUCUGAGAAGUUCAGCCAAGUGUGCCUUACGGGUCACACCUUGGUAGUACAAGUUGUGCUCAUACCUACCGCAUCUCAUUCUCCUCUUGCUGCUAGGAUUACAACAUAGCUAUAUUUACACUAGUCAAUAUUCAUCCUUGUGCGUGACUUUCUAUUUACCUAUAUUUGAUAAUACAUAACUGAAAAAAGUAUGGAAUG